AUUGAACGCUGGCGGCAUGCUUUACACAUGCAAGUCGAACGGCAGCGGGGUAGUGCUUGCACUACUGCCGGCGAGUGGCGACCGGGUGAGUAAUAUAUCGGAACGUACCGAGUAAUGGGGGAUAACCAAUCGAAAGAUUGGCUAAUACCGCAUACGUCCUGAGGGAGAAAGCGGGGGAUCGCAAGACCUCGCGUUAUUCGAGCGGCCGAUAACUGAUUAGCUAGUUGGUGGGGUAAAGGCCUACCAAGGCGACGAUCAGUAGCGGGUCUGAGAGGACGAUCCGCCACACUGGGACUGAGACACGGCCCAGACUCCUACGGGAGGCAGCAGUGGGGAAUUUUGGACAAUGGGGGCAACCCUGAUCCAGCCAUGCCGCGUGUAUGAAGAAGGCCUUCGGGUUGUAAAGUACUUUUGUUAGGGAAGAAAAGGGAAGUGCUAAUACCACUUUUUGCUGACGGUACCUAAAGAAUAAGCACCGGCUAACUACGUG
rnacentral:rRNA from 1 species